rnacentral:rRNA from 1 species
CGCGUAGGCGGCUUGUUAAGUUCGGGGUGAAAUCUCCCGGCCCAACUGGGAGGGGUCCUCGGAUACUGGCAGGCUAAGAGGAGAGCAGAGGAGAGUGGAAUUCCCGGUGUAGUGGUGGAAUGCGUAGAUAUCGGGAGGAACACCAGUGGCGAAGGCGGCUCUCUGGGCUCUGCCUGACGCUGAGGCGCGAAAGCGUGGGGAGCGAACCGGAUUAGAUACCCGGGUAGUCCACGCCGUAAACGUUGGACACUAGGUGUAGGGGGUAUCGACCCCCUCUGUGCCGAAGCUAACGCUUUAAGUGUCCCGCCUGGGGAGUACGGCCGCAAGGCUAAA